AUACGGAGGGUGCAAGCGUUAAUCGGAAUAACUGGGCGUAAAGCGCACGUAGGUGGACAUUUAAGUCGGAUGUGAAAGCCCUAGGCUUAACCUAGGAACUGCAUCCGAAACUGGGCGUCUUGAGUAUAGUAGAGGGAAGUGGAAUUUCCGGUGUAGCGGUGAAAUGCGUAGAUAUCGGAAAGAACACCAGUGGCGAAGGCGGCUUCCUGGACUAAUACUGACACUGAGGUGCGAAAGCGUGGGGAGCAAACAGGAUUAGAAACCCUAGUAGUCC
rnacentral:rRNA from 1 species